rnacentral:lncRNA from 1 species
CUCGCGUCUGUUUACCCUGCUGGACUCAGUGGGCUUCCUCAGCAGGCUCAUGGGCAGAGGCUUUGUCUGUCUGUCAGGAAUCUCCACACUGAGAGGGCAUCUUACUCACGUGGUGUACACUGUGUUCAGCCAGGCCCUCUAAGAAACAGACACCAAGAUGAGGAAACCGAUGCAAGACAUCAAGCAGCUUCUGAGGUCGCGUGUUUGGAAGCCCAGCCCUCAAAGUGGAUGAACUUGCCCUAGGAGGAAGUUAAGCACCGUUGUCAUCAACACGGCCAUCAAUACCAUCAAAAGACAUUUAUUAAGCACCUAAUUGUGCAUAGCUCUGACUUCGACUGUGAACAGAGAAUCAGGUGAUUUGCUGUUAGACGGGGUAAAGUGCCGGGCCAGGACGAUCCUGCUGCAGAGAGCAACACAAAGGCGUCAGGCUGCAGGCCAAGUCUAGAUCGUUCCAUUAUCCUGGGAGGGGGCGGUCACCCAUAUAUUUUCCUUAAAAUACAUACACAGAAAUAAAAUACAUAAAAAUUUG